UAUGUUUCCAAAUGUUGAUGAUUUUUGUGUGUUUUUUUGGGGAGUGGUGGAGGGAUAUUUAAUUUAUCCCAUCUUUGGCCAGUGGGAGCCGCUUCUCUUCAGACUUGCUACCAAGGCCCCAUACAGUAGUUGAUAGCUUCCUGCUAUCACAAUAAGCAAGAGGUUACAGACUCAUCUUGUUCAUCUUCUGCCCCUAACCUAGAAUCGGCCAUUUCUCUAAGGAACCAAGAAAUUCACCAUUCUUAACCAUUUACACUCUAUUAUCUCUGUAUUUUCCUUGAGCAUACACCUGGGGAAUGAGAAGGAAGGAGGAAGAGAAAAAAAUAACUGAAGAGGGCCAAGUAAAAGGGCAAAGAAGAAAAGUGUAACAUGGCCAUCUGAGAAGCUUGCACAAAAUGUGAUGCAAACAUUACUCCAAAAACCUGACAGGCAAAGUGACAAGUAAAUACAGUGGGGAAGCACUUGCUAGACCCUGGCCUGGAAUUUACUCCAAGGACAGGAAACAUGGUGAGGGAAAGAUUGGCAUUAGAACAAUUUGAUGAAAUAGGCAAGAGUUUCAUGCUUGAGUAAGACAGGCUCUGCCCUGGGCCAGUACCAUAGUGAGAAUUCAAAUUCUAUCCUCAGCAAUGGAAGGGGCCUCCAAGGACACCCAUUAGGUACAACGUCCUCUGGUCUAAGUGAAGUGAGGUCUGCCUAUAUUAGCCCCACAUCUUUGCUACCAAAGACUCUCCUUCCCUUUCCUCAUGGUACACAUUUUAUCCCAAUAUCCUUGCAGCAUUCAUUGAGUCAUCAAAUGUUUAUUAAGAAGCCACCAAGUACAACAUGCUGUGCUUGAUCAAUUGAACAAGGGGAGACCUGGUCUCUUCCUGCAGAGUUCACAGGCCAGUGGAGAGAGAUCUCAAUCAAUAAGCACACAGCUACAUGCAGGAGUAGCAAGUACCAUCAGGGAGAGGCUCAUGGUGAUUUGGUAGUGUAUUUCGUAGUAUAAAACAGAGGCACUAAAGGAGGGCCUGGAGGUAAAGGCAGGGCUGCUAGAGCAUGAGAUUUUUAGAUGGAGAAAUAGUGUUUGUAGGUACCAAGGCUCCGGGGUAGGAGGAAACAGAGCAUACACAAAUAAUUGUAACAAAGUCAUGGAAUCCAGAGCAAAGAAAGGAAAAAGGAACACAGCGCACCAUGAGCCUGGAAAUGCAGCAAGGAGCCAGACUCAGCAGGAACUUCCAGGCAUUCAGUGUUUGUGUUCACUAAGUUAUUGGCUACAGUGGUUGUUUAAGGAUCAAGAGACCUUAAGACUCAGAGGUAAGAUGGAAUGACAUGCUGUAGGUUCAUAAUAUGGGAUAGAAAGCCUUCUCAGCGACCCUUAGAUUAGCAGCAGUGGACCAUGAGUAAACAGAAACGUGGACCUCAAAGAACAAGGCAAGAGAGGCCCAGGGCCAUUCACAGGCUAUAAAACCAAACAGCUGUAAUUCACAAGAAAUGGAAACAUGGAUUUUCAUCCUCAGGACAUGAAAUAAGUGCUCCCAUUACAGAAAAUUAAGAUUCAGUCACUACCAAGGGAAACAAAACAGCAGAGAAAUCUCUGCAACAAAGACUUUUAUGACACACCAAUACAGGAAACUUUUUUCUUUUUUGAAUUCACUGUUGGAAGAUCAAAGAUAUACCUUGUUAAAUUAUCCAAGUCAUUUUUCUGAAGCAAAACACCUCUUUGCAAAUGUACAGUCUACCUGGCAGGUAAAAAUGCAAAUUAAUAAACAUAAUGUACACUGUAAGAGGUCUGUGGCCGUUAAGUCACAGGUCAACUAAAUAUCCACUGUGACUCUGAUCCACUUAGUGGAGACAGUCUCAUGACAUUUAUUGUUUGUAUCCACCUGUGAAUGUGGCCAGGAUGCUUGUCAUGUCUAGUCAUGGGGGUGGUCCAUUUUCACAGCAGUUCACCAAAACCCUUUCCUGUAUCCCUGAGCCACAGCAAAUACAGGGGCCCCUCCUCUGCACAGACUGCUUAUCCCAGCAAUGUAGGACUGUGGGGGUAAUAAGGCGGUCCAGUCUUGUCUGCCACUGUAGACUGGUGGGUCAUUUCAGCUGGCUGAAAAACUAAGUUUUAAAUGGGGCGAUUAGCAGGUAGGCAUCCUCAGAUUCAUCCGCUGGUCUUAUCCCUUCCCAGAGCUUGCUCCGUGUUAAGAUCACAUCAUAGAACUGCUAUUUCCUCAAGUACAUUUUUGAGAAACACCUGCUUUGCCAAUAAAAAAGGAGAAGCAUGCUAUGAACUUGCUCUUUCCAUUCUUUUAAAACACAUUACUUUAUUGCGCAAAGAAAUUUGGCCAUGACAUUUUUAAAUCUGCAAGAGUCAUGUUCAUCAUAGCAAGCAGCAAGGAUGAAGCCACAUCUUUGAGCACUACCACUGAGAUUUCCAGCAAAGUGGUCUACACACAGCAUGGUCUACACCAGUCUUUGUUAUCUUUCCCGUGCUGAAGGAAACUUGGGUUGUUUCCAGUUUGGGUGGUUACAAUGAAAACUGCUAGGAGCAUUCAUGUGCAAGUCUUUGUAUAAACAUAAUUUUUCAUUCCUUUUGGUAAAUAUCCAGGAAUGGGAUUGCUGGGUCAUAGGUAAAGUCAUACAGUAUCCAUAUGUUUAAAUUUAUGAGAAAAUUGCCAAACUGUUUUCCAGAAUGGCUGCACUAUUUUACGUUCCUAUCAACAACCUAUGAGAGAUCCAAUUGCUCUGUGUCCUAGCCCGCAUUUAGUAUUGUCAGUAUUUUUUUUUACUCUGGCUAUUGUGUGUAGCGGCACUGUGGGAAUUUCUCAUCACUUGGAGAGUCUUGCCGGGGGAUAUAUGAGGGGAUGGCAAUGAUGCAGGGAGUCCGGCCUCAUCGGCAGGAGAAUCACUUGAACCCAGGAGGUGGAGGUUGCAGUGAGCCAAGAUGGCACCACUGCACUCUAGCCUGGGUGACAGAGAGUGAGACUCUGCCUCAAAAAACAAAACAAAACAAAAAAACCAGCUGCAUGGGGAGCCAUUCCACAGUCAGAAACUAUAGUGCCGCAUGACCUCAGGGACAGGAGGUGGGGAGAAACAGAUCUAGAGGGACAUGAACAUGCCCACUGGAGAUACAGAAAGUAUGUCCUUCCCUUGCACAGUGCCAAUU
rnacentral:lncRNA from 1 species